GGCAGAGAGAGAGGGGGAGAGAGAGACGGUCCUUGUGUAUUACAGAUAUCCACCGCUGUCUUCACAGACUGAAGAAUGGACAAUUCUUACAAAUGGCAGCUGCAUGGAAGUCCAAGGUCAAGGCACGUCUAGUCGGAAGUCCAAGUUCAAGUUAAAGGAGGCGGUCAGUUCCUCUGCAGACAUGUUAAUUGCGACAGCAUGUAAUGACAUCUGGGUGUUUACUGUGCUGACUGGCUGAGACUCGCCACAGGCUGAAUGAGUACCUGAGGGGUGGCUGGAUGGCGUGGCAGGCCGGUUUAUGAGGAGGGAUGGUAAACAGACAGCAGCAAUGGCCAAAACCAAGGUCCUGCCCUUUGGAUCGAGCAAGUGUGAGGCCAGAGGAAAAAGGCCGGCCAAGCAGGAAGCAAACGCAUGCUCCCUAUUCACUACAUCAUAAACGCUCUCUUCAUUCCAGCCAAAUCUGAGCUGUUCCUCAAGAACUUGGACAUUAUAUAAUGCGUCUACUGAUAUAAUUUAUAGCUAAUCCUUAAUAAUUCAUUAUUCAGGAACGUGGGUUUCCAGUGAAAGCACUAUAGUUGAGAUGUUCAUUAAUAUCAUCAUCACGGAAUUCUGAUGGUUUGUUUUCCCCACAGAUGGAUUUGUUCUAAAAUAUGAGGGCAUUCAAAAUCCCACAAGACUCAAUACUGGAUCAGAUCCAGUUUCACUUCAUACUUCCUCUCUCAUCCUUGUGAUGUUAAUCAUUGUCCCACAGUUACCAGUGUUCUUUUAUCACACAACACUUUUAUUGGAAGACAUAAUGUUUGGCUGUAAACAUGUCUCUAACAACAUGCUGCUACAUUUGUAUGCCAACAGAUCCUGAAACCCACAUGAAACUAAUUACAUCAUCCACCAUUCUUAAAAAAAAUUGUGCCGUCAGACAGAUAAAGAGAGGCAGAAAGACAGGUUUGCGACGUUAAGCUGAGGUCUUCUUGUUUGGUAUAUUCUCCUUGGCACUAAAAGUCAUAAAAGGCCUUCAGGUUUUACAAUGUCAUGUCCAAACGCAGCAUCCCCCACGGCUUCUCUUUCCCCUUCUCUCCCUUUCUCUCUUCCUUCCCUCUGAGCUACCUUCACCUCCCCCCAUGCUUUCUUCCUUCAUCAGUUGAAAAAGACAAGCAUAUUCUUACUGCUGAAAAGCACUAUGAAUAUUGUUGAAAAGUACAAACUGGAAGGAAUUUAGUGGUCUCGUGUUUGUCUGCCAUUGAUUUUGUUGACAGUGGUCAGAAUUUUCUAAUGCAUGUGGUACAGAUCGAACGAUCUUAAAACCGCUUUUGCUACUGAUGGCUUUCCAAGAACACAUCAGAAGAGCCGCUUUAGGCUUAUGGUGCCAUGCGAGUCCAUUUUAGUGUUUCUUGCUGCUUUUGAAAAUGUAUUGUUUUAAAAAUGGCAAAAAAAAAAUCAAUGUUAAAAAAAAUUGACUUUGCAAAAGAAAAAAAUAAGUGUCAAACAUCGUCAAAGUCAUUCUUUAAAGCUGACAUUCUGAUUUAUUGUCGGCCUUUCAAAACAAAAGACUCAGAGGUGACCAAUAAAUCCGUCCGUACUUUGCUUCCUCAAGCUAUUUGUCCUCUUGAGGUGUAAAACACUCUGAGGCAAGCCCUACUUGAACCAGAGCUGUGAACAUAUAGCGUCCACCAAUUAUCCUGUCUGUCUGCUUCUCUGCUAAUUAUGGCUUGCCUGCUGUGUUUGCGCGAGUGUGCAUGCGUGUCUCUUAUGGACAGACGGGGGCUAAUAACACCAUAUUUUUUGAAAAGACAGAAGGCCUCUGGCCAUCGCUUUCAACACACAUGCCACACAGGCAGUCCCACCCACAGCACUCAGACCUGUCAUUGAUGGCCAUCCCCUUUCCCACUCUUGGACUCUCCGCAGCUGUGGUCUGGCGUGACAGAAAAGUGCAACAAAUUACUUUGCUACCGCUUCUGAGGGCAAAUGUCAAAUAUCACUCCAUAUUUACCAGAAUGGAGUCAUGCACAGACACUUACAUAAGGAUGGGUAUUUUCUGUGCAGGGUGUGGAUGUCAUGUCAGCGAGCGAGAGAGAGAGAGAGAGAAAAACUGGUUUCCUUUUCUGGAUGCCAUCCAGGUCUGUGCACAGUACCAGGCAGCUGUCAGUAGGAUUGAUGAGCCCAGCUGGUGAAGAUGUGCUGGGUGUCAGCAGGGCAGCAGAUUUUAGCGAGGCCAGAGAGCACUCACCGCAUGAGUUAGGUGUGAUCUGAAGAGGACGUGAUUUAGAGUGCUAUGACUGGGCAGGUGAGAUGACUGUACGACGGAUACUUUGCUGGUGAAUCAGCUGAAAGUCAUUUCAAGAAGAUGGGGGAGUGUGCAACGGUGUGCAGAGGUCGUGAUGUGCGCUUGUAUUUACGCACAAGACAUUGCUGGAGGUGCAAAAGUUCUAUGCAGAUGUCCAAAUAAAUGGUAAAUCAUUGUGGAUGCUCAUAUGCUUUUUGCACUGAACGUGUCUGGCAGCCCAGGGGCUAGCGAAUGACUAAAACAUUAGCAGGAAUCCUCAUGGCUCUCACACGCUCUCCCAUCCCCCUCUGUGCUAGGCCUGUGCAAACACACACAUACACACACUGAGCCAAAAUGGUGCCCAUUCACAUGCACACUUUAAAACAUCAUGGCCUCUCUCCGGCUGGGGAAUGCGUAUCCGUGCGUUGCUUCGCUCGUAUACACAAAGUGUCUAUUUAGGUGUGUGUCCUCAUUCCAAGAGCUGUAAAGAUGCCAUUGGCAUCUCGGCCCAGAACACUGAAUCGAGUUACAGGUGUUCCUUUUAACACAGUUGCCCUGAAAAAAAAAAAAAAAAAAAAAAAAACAUUUUAUGACCAAGC